UCAGCAGUUGUUCCGGUGUUGCCAUGGGAACUGGGAAGGCCCUGCCCGGGAGUACCUGGAACUUUGUUCAUUACAGCACCACUGCAGGAACUCAUUUUACCUUUCCAGUCUUCAGCGGCUUUUCCAGCAGCAGGGCACAGGACAAACCAGUCCACCUCCACUCCCUGACAGCAGCACUCCUCUCCCUGGAUAAAGCUCAUCCAGAGCUCCUCUCUUUAGAAAUCCCCCUUCGUUGGGCCGGGUCUCACCCCUGCUGCUUCCUGGGAAAUGGCACCCGCGCCUGUCGGGAGGAAGUGACAUCGGCGGUUGUAUGCAAAUGCAGAAACACCCCAAGUCCAACAAAGAAAACCCCUAAAACAACGAGCUUCCACAAAAUCGAGCAACCCAAGUGACUUCGAAGGCUCCUGUGAGGACGGAAUCCCCGGCUCUGCCUGCGUGCAAAGUGGACAAAGCUGCGCUCCUCCUCCUCCUUCUCCUCCUCCUCC